GAAGCAAGUAUUUUUAGAAGACUUGCUUCACAGCCUGUGGUUCUUCGUUGCAUUUUUGCGUGGUUUAAUGUUCUUCUACGUUACAUUCACGUUUACUUUUAUUCAUUCAGCAGACACUUUUAUCCGAAGCGACUUACGAAUGAGAAAAUGCAAGCAAAGCGAUAUAUCAAGCGGAGAACGAUACAGGCAAAGCGCGCAGAGUAGAGGUGUAAGAGCCAGAUAUUUUCUCAGGUUUAUCCUGUGGGGAAAAUCCAGAAAUCCAGAGCGCCGUAGACCAACUGAAUAAAUGAUGCAGGGGCAGUGGUGGCUUCUGGGUUACUGAUCAGAAGGUCAGGGGUUCAAGCUGCCACUGUUGGGCCCUUGAGCAAGGUCCUUAACCCUCUCUGCUGUAUCAUGGCUGACCCCAACUUCCCGGCAUGCUAGGUUUGAAAGAAAGAAAGGAUGUCGUACUGGAAAUCACAAAGGCCACCCCAUGUAUACGAGUCAAAGAAGCUUCCUGAGCUUUGAAGAUUUUUGCAUUAUGUAAAGAAGCCUGCGAUUAAAAGGGUCACGGGGAAACCUGGAGUCUAUCCCAGGGAGCAUCGGGUACAAGGCGGGGUACACCCUGGACAGGGUGCCAGUCCAUCGCAGGGCACAAUCACAUACACACUCACACACCCAUUCAUACACUACGGACACUUUAGACACGCCGAUCAGCCUACCGUGCAUGUCUUUGGACUGGGGGAGGAAACCUGAGUACCCGGAGGAAACCCCCGCAGCACGGGGAGAACAUGCAAACU
ensembl:lncRNA